GCUUACACAUGCAAGUCGAGCGAGAAAGCGGCUUCGGUCGUGAGUAAAGCGGCGGACGGGUGAGUAACACGUGGACAACCUGCCUGGAAGUGGGGAAUAACUUGAGGAAACUCGAGCUAAUACCGCAUGCGUCCGCACCGUGCGAGCGGUGCGUGCAAAGGUGGCCUCUUCAUGAAAGCUGUCGCUUCCAGAUGGGUCCGCGGCUGAUUAGCCAGUUGGUGGGGUAACGGCCUACCAAAGCGACGAUCAGUAGCCGGCCUGAGAGGGCGAUCGGCCACACUGGAACUGAGACACGGUCCAGACUCCUACGGGAGGCAGCAGUGGGGAAUAUUGGACAAUGGGCGAAAGCCUGAUCCAGCAACGCCGCGUGGAGGAUGAAGGCCCUAGGGUUGUAAACUCCUGUCAGGUGGGACGAAAAGGUGUCGGUCAAUACCCGGCACCCUCGACGGUACCACCGGAGGAAGCCCCGGCUAACUACGUGCCAGCAGCCGCGGUAACACGUAGGGGGCAAGCGUUAUUCGGAAUUAUUGGGCGUAAAGGGCGCGUAGGCGGCCUGACAAGUCAGGGGUGAAAUCCCUCGGCUCAACCGAGGAACUGCCUCUGAAACUGUUCGGCUUGAGGCCGGGAGAGGGUGGUGGAAUUCCCAGUGUAGCGGUGAAAUGCGUAGAUAUUGG
rnacentral:rRNA from 1 species